CAUGCAAAAAUGUUCCUGAGGGCUGUGUGAUCACACAGAUCUAAAUAUGUCACUCAGAGACAUAUUUAGGAGUGUUAUAAGUACAUAAGAGCAUAAGAACAGCCCUGUUGGAUCAGGCCCAAGGCCCAUCUAGUCCAGCAUCCUGUUUCACACAGUGACCCACCAGAUGCUGUUGGGAAGCCUAUAGGCAGGAGCUGAGGGCUAGGGGUCUAAACCAGACCCAAACUGGACCAGGGCCAGUUCAGUCUGGAACCCCUUGGUUCAGUUUGAGGUGGGGGUUGUGAACUUAAUUUUUAAAAAAGCAAAAAAGCUCACCCCCUUUGGUGGUGUUCUCCGAGGCGGCAGGAGGGUCCGUGGAGGUUUCCUCACUGGCCCCCUGUCUGUCCAAAAAUGGCCUGUUCAGUCAUUCUUCAGCCCGUUCAGGACUUUCCCCUUGGUGCGGCAGCCAUUUUGGAGGCUGCUGCCCCUGCGCAAUGGGCCUCUGCGUGGCCUGGGGGUUUUGCCUAUGUUUUUCUUUUAUUUUCUCAACAGCCCUGUGAGAUGGAUUAUAUUGAAGAACAGUGACUUGGUCAAGUAAUCUAACUGAACUUCAUGACAGUGCAGACUGGUCUUAAUGCAGCGGGCACAUUAGAUGUACACAAAGUAUUCCAUUUGGAAGACUGGAGGUAGAUUAGGGCCUUGGGCCAAACAACAGGAGAUACAGCUAUAGAAAAAUCAAGAAGCUUGGAGAAAGACACUUACAGUGCAUAUCAACCUGCUAUCGAUACCACUGCUGGAGGAAAUGCUGGAGGACCCCAGGAACAUCAACUGGGUAGCAUGGCUUUCCUCCUUGAGUUCAUCUGUGUCCUGGGAAGAGAUAUCUCUCUUUGAGCUUGCCACAGUCAGGCCACCUAUAGUGUGAUGACAACAAAGGAUCACACCUUCAGGAGUUCCAGUGAAGGUGCCAACUCAUUCAACCUUCAGAGAGAAGCACUGCAGAGAAAUGAGACAUAUUAUGGAACAGAACUGCCCCAAAUAAGACAUGAGGGGAAACAACCCAGGUGUGGGACAAAGCAGGUUUGUUCCUUCCGAUUUGUUAUGGCUUUGAGACCUCUAAUUUUGGGUGGAUUUAUAUUAAUGGUAUUUGUUAAAUCUUUAUAUUAAUGUAUCCAUAUUUUAUUCUUACUGCUGAUAUCUUUGCUGCUGUGUUUAUUUGUUUAGCUGACAUCAUUGGUUAUUGUGUUAUUUGAAUGAAUUAUACUGUUAUCUGUAAUAGAUUUGCUUUAAGAAAUAAAACCAUUAGAAAAUAAUUGAUAGUAGAUUUGUUAUUAGAAUGAUAUUUUGAUUAGCUAUGUGAUAAAUGGGUAUUGGUUGGUUGUGUUCAUUAUGCUUGAUGCAUGGCUAUUAUUACGUUUCUUUUGUUGUGAGCUACUUCAGAAAUGUUUGUGUGGAAAAGUGGCAUAUAAAUUAAAGUUGACAUUCAGAGCAACGAAGUGAAAGUGCUGCAACUAUGCCCCUAAGAGUUGUGCAGCCCUCGGGGACAUAUUUUGGGGUGAUACAGAGGGCUUCCUGGGGAAGGAGAGGGUGUCAAAAACUGCCGCUUCCCUGCUGCAUCAGUGCAAUUAGUUGGGAAGUUCUGUUAGGCUGCUCGCUUGCUGCACCUGUGCUUCCUUGUUUUGAAUGUCAGCUACUAAUCCUAAUAAGGAUACCCAGUAGGAAUUGUAUUUGUUUUUCUUUGAACAGCAGCCCUCUAUAACUAUAUUGCUUUUUGCUCUUUGCUAUAUUACAAAUUGCUUUUGAAGAUGCCCUCUGUUUCAAAUGUGGUUUGUCACAUGGUCUUGUAGACAGCUGUUCAAAUGAAAAGAAACAUUCUUCCACUCUUUGGGUGCACAGUAUAAGGUGCCCAAGUCUAGAAUGAUUGUAGAAAUCUUAUCCGUUACUAAAUGAAUCACCCCACAGAAAUUUAAUUAAGCAGGCAAAAGUCUAUCUCACAUAUAUAGAAAUUGGUAAAAAGGGAUACUACAGUGUUUUUGAUGUAUUCAAAUAAAAUGUCCAAAUUGAAAUUACUAGAGUUUACACAUCAUAUGUGUGCAGACUAGACUGCAAAAUAACACUAGAUUUUGAACUACAUUAUGAAAAUAAUUUUUAAUUUGAGCAUCCUCCAAGAAAAUGCUUAAAAAGCAAAUUGAAAAAAAAAUCACUUCAAACACAUUGGGCUUGUGUUUCUCUUAAUUGCAAUGAUAUCAAAUCAAAUAAUAUAGUUGAUAAGCACUGAAGAAAUUAAGUACAAAAGGAAACAAAUGGAUUGUUAUGAGAAAGCUGUAGCUGCAGUUAAAAAAAAAUGAAUCCAAGGAGAUAAAGCAGAUGAAAUGCCCUGUAACGUCUGAAAGAAAUUUAAAAAUGCCAACAGAUUGUCAUCAGAUCAAUUCAUUUUCUAAAAAGUUUGCUACAUAUUUCUUUGGGGAAUAGUUUAGCUAAUGAUACAUAGUGUGUGUGGAACACAACCGUAAACAGACAUGCAAUUCACCUGGUUUACAAUCUGCUCCGUGAUCUUUGUUCAUGCUUUUUAAAAGGAGUAUAUGAUUUGUAUGAGCAUAGGAAAAUAGAUUCAAAGACUCAACCAUUUAAAAGGAAAUUUAUGAAUAUUUUCCACUUGUACUUAGUCCAUCUAUUUCUGAUACUUGUUUGCAUUUCACAUCUGCUUAUUAACUAUGGAUGGAUACCUUCAGAUCCCCCCCCCCAGUGAAUAUUUGAGAAUGUGGAGUCCUAGCCUUUGUUUGUUUAUUUGGAGGUAAGCCUGUCUUCUGGGGAACUUACUCCUAAGUCAGAGGGCAUAGGACUCAGCCUCAGAUACAGGCAUGCAUGCAAAAAGAUGCUUAGUUUUGAUCACUUGUCAUCUUGUGUUCUUUCAUGCAUUUCUAUCUGAAUUUGUUCAGAUCUCAUAAAUAGGGCGGUGGGGGGGGGGGGAAGCAAAACACGCAUGCGAUUUUAAAGCAACGGUGUUCAAACCCAGCUUGUAGUCUUUCUGAUGCCCUCUGUUACUGAGCACAUGUUGCCCUCAGGUCUGUAACUGAGCUGCACUCAGCCUUUUAUGGCUGUGGCUGUCUCCCCUUUCACCAAAAGGCAGUGCACAUUGCAAUCUGCGUGUGACAGAAAAGAAGCGCCUUCCAGAAGCUGCUGUCAGAGCCUGGGAAAACAAAAAUCCCAUCGUUUCUAUUGCCCUUGUUCCACCCCACUUCACCCAUACACCAACCGUGCAUGGCCACUUGUCACUGACCCCUGCCUUGUCCCAUUUUCUUUUCACCCUUUGAGGUUGCACAUGUGCAACAGUGCUGAGCGGCCCCACGUUUUGAACCUGAUUGUACAACAUUGUCCAGCACAAACCAUGCAGAAAGUUCCUGGCUCAGUGCAGAGCCAGUGCUCAGGAAAGAGAAGGCUCCUUUAUAGGUGGUCAGCACAGAGCGGCACCGUUUUUAACAGAUGUUAUUGUGUUAGUAUCUGGCUACAGAAUCACUGGAGUAGAAAUGCUGGCUCUAAAGCUUGGGUGGGGAAAGGCACAAGAUCAGAUCCGUUAUAUUCCAUAUACCUGUAUUUUGUGGUACCCUCCCUGGAAUCAUCGGAUGACAUGUGUACUCUGUGGCUAUAAGAAAUAAACUCUCUUCCUGCUUUAAGUUGGUGCUUCUUGAUGAGAGGCUGCACCCAAGUUUCAAAUACUUCAUCCCAGCUGUUAGGCAUUUCUCCUACAUAAGAAUGCGGGGUUGGAGAAUAUGGUUUGCAGUCAGUAGGGGAAAGGGUGUCAUUUGAAUAGCAUAAUUUCUGGGGUAAAAUUAAUAAUUGGAAUAGGGAGCAACUCAAGAUGAAGAAUUAUUGAAUCCCUUCCGAUAAUACAUGGAUUCAACUAUCAGCUACAAAUGACUUGAUUAUCUUUUCAUUCAGAGUAGAUUAACGUUGGAUCUACAAAUGCAGCAGAAUGGGGUGGGAAGGAAAACUGACACUAAAUUUGUCUUUCCAUCUUUAAAAGAAAAGAAUAGCAGCCACCAUGAUGGAGGAGAACGAUGAUACAGGUAGUUCUCUUGGCACCAAGAGCAGCUUUGCUUGGGGGGCAAAUAACAGGGAUAAUUUCAUCAGGACUGUGGCGUGUGGGGAAGAAUGUAACCCCUCUCUACUUGUGUCACAGUUGUGAAUCUGGAAUGGGGACCCCCCCAUGACUGUUACAUUUUUAAAAAAGAUGAUGAUGUGUUCAAUGUCACUGCUAAUUCAACCCUUAAAGUCUAGCUAGAUGUUACAGCUGUUCACACAGGAAAAGUGAAAUAAAUUACCACUGUAGCCAAUUAAAGCUUUUCCCCCAGGGCAAAUAAUGUUACAGGACCCCCAAUCCAGAUCUGGACCAUGAUGGUAAAGUAGGUUUCUAGCCCUCUUACUUUCCACCACAGUCCGAGCUUGGAUCAGGCUCCACUGCAUGGGCUAUUGAUGCUCCACAAUACCAGGGGAAGCAGAUGCUUCUGGAAACAUCUCCAGAAUGGCAUGUGACUGCUGUCAUAGGGUCUACAGAGUGCUGUCUGUUUUUACUUAUAACGGCUGACAUCAAGAUUAAUGCUGUGCCAUUGCACAAAGGAAGGGACAAUUAUAAACAAUUUAUACUUAUCUCACCUUCCCUCUGAAGCCCACUGUGCUGCCUGAAAAUAUAUUCCUGAGGCAAUUAUUAUAAAUAGUAGUCUUAGUAGUUUUUUAUUUCAUGAUCCUCUUCAAGAACUAGAUGCUGGAAAUAAAAUGAAAAUAAGCCAUAUGCCCUGUCCACAGUCUUACAAUUUAAGUCACCUAACCAAAAGGAGAGAAAAGGCAGCUAUGUGAUUAAAGAGGUGGGCUUUUAAAAGGCAUUUGAAAUGCAUCAACAGCAGGAGUCAAGAGGUAAUGAGGUCAAGUAAAAGGGAGAAAGAGCACAGUUGUGGAUGGCACAGUUGUGGAUGGCAGGUGCAAUUUUUGCUUUUGGAGGGGCAAGGAAAGAAGAAAGUACAAAGGUACAUGGAGAGUGAGACGAAGAGAGCGAGAAUGAGAAGAAGAGAGAGAUAUGUGGGUGCAGAUGAAUGAAGUCAAGUGAAUGAGAUCCUGGUGAAGAUAUUUCUCCGUUCAGAGCCUCUGUCCUCUCCAAGUUGCUGAGAUAGGUGUAUCAUGAACUUCACAAGGAAACCCCCUUGAUUUAAAGACUGCAAAUUUGGACAUAGAGUUCAGUGCUGUGGAGAUUCUGCUUCAAAUGAUGUCACCUACCAGUGCUGAAAGUGCUGAGGAAAUUUCAGUGUUCAUUUGUGGGUUGGAGUAAGAUCCAUCUUGGUUUGUGCAAAAAUAAGUUGGAUCUCUUGCUUGUGACAUUUGUCAAACCUCCUUGAAGACAACAAACUACCUGAAAAUCCCCUUCAGUUGACUCCAUCGCCAUAACAUUUCUCUCUGGGGAAAUGUAGUAGAUGGAAUAUCUGAAUAUUAUUAUCUUCCUGGAUUCCACUAAGUCUGACAUGAUCCAAGUAUGACACUGAGAUAUUAUUGUACCUGUGGCUUUGACUGAUAACCUUCCUCUUAACAACUAGGUUUUCAGGACCACUCUACUGGGAGUCCAUGGAUAGGGGCUUAUUUUCCCCCAAAUAGAUCUACAGAGUACCAUGCUAAUAAGGAAAUAAUCACAAAGGUUAUCUUUGAUGGGCAGAAUAUCAACUGUUUUCAUCUAAAUACAAAAAUAUGCAUAGGGGUUUACUUUAACAAGGGUUUUUAUUCUAUGUAUAUAUUUGAACAAAACAUGGAGGAAAAGAUAAAAAUUAGGAUUUUAAUUUUUACUGUAGAACUGAGGAGAAACUAUUCAUUUCGGGAUUCAUCUAGAAUCAUGCUAAACUUUAGCACAUUAAAGAGCAAAUAAAUUGAAAAUCAGGCAGGUCUAAAGCAUGCAAGUUUUAUGUUCUAGUUUUCUAACAAACCCUGUAUUGUAUCAUAAAAAUAAAUACAUUCCUAUCAUUAUUUCUGUAAAAUGCUGCAUACUUGUUCAUUGAAAUGUCUAUUUGUGUGAUUUAUUUUUUUAUUUCUAGAAAGCUGUUCUUGCACAAACUUGUGCUAUGAUGUGAAAGAAACCUUAAAUGGCUUUUAAACCACUUAUAAACAAACAUUAUUAGCAAACCAUUUUAAUUACUGUACUAAAUGUAGUCUGAAUGUAAGCAUUUAUUAAUACAUGCUAUGCACUCAUUACAAAUUUUCAUGGAAAAAUGAUAAAAUAUUAUGUAUGAAAUGAAUCAUUAGCAUGGACCAUUAAGUCCUCUAUUUUCAUUUAAUUGAAUUUGUCAGUAGUACCCUCUUUAACUGAAAGCCAGUCAUAGCCACAGAAUUAAAUAAUAAUUAAAGAAACAAGUAUUCAAAGAAUUGCUUGGUAGCUAAGGUGCCAUUUAACCAAAACAUAGCAAUUUAAUGUAAAUUGCCAGCCAUAUUGGUGCCAUGCAGAAAAUUAUACAUCCUGGGGUUCAUAUAGGUUUGAUUUAUGCAACGAUUUUCACAGUUGCCAGUAUAAAUCCUGUAAGCUGCUCUGUAAACAUAAAGAAGGAUUCCGUGUGAGCAGGUGAGAAGAGAAAGAAAAGAAAGGCAUUCCCAGAUAGAAUAUUCACUAUGUGUUUUUUUCACUGCACACAUAGUCAUUAAGUAAUACUAGUGAAGUUUCAGAAAUUCUCAUUUCUUCGUUUGAAAAUACAUGUUUCAGUGGCUUAUAAUGUUAAUCAUGAAUAGAAUA